AACGAACGCUGGCGGCAGGCCUAACACAUGCAAGUCGAGCGCCCCGCAAGGGGAGCGGCGGACGGGUGAGUAACACGUGGGAAUUUUCCUCAAGGUACGGAACAACUCAGGGAAACUUGGGCUAAUACCGUAUGAUGCAGAGAUGCCAAAGAUUUAUCGCCUUGGGAUAAGCCCGCGUCAGAUUAGGUAGUUGGUGGGGUAAUGGCCUACCAAGCCUGUGAUCUGUAGCUGGUCUGAGAGGACGGAUCAGCCACAUUGGGACUGAGACACGGCCCAAACUCCUACGGGAGGCAGCAGUGGGGAAUCUUGCGCAAUGGACGAAAGUCUGACGCAGCCAUGCCGCGUGAAUGAUGAAGGUCUUAGGAUUGUAAAGUUCUUUAGCCUGUGACGAUGAUGACGGUAACAGGAGAAUAAGCCCCGGCUAACUUCGUG
rnacentral:rRNA from 1 species